rnacentral:sRNA from 1 species
AAAUUCUGGAGAAAUUAUUCAAAGUAGUCCUAAACUGUUCAUCCUAUCCUGCCUUACCCUUCUCUCAGAAACCCCAACAAAGGCCAUGCCUUACAACUUACCUUGCUCCUGUUUCUGCCUCCUGACCACUCUGGUCUUCCCCAUGUUGCCAUGUAUGGCAUGCCUCCUGUCUCUAGGACCUAUGCAGCAAAAGAGAAAAACAAUGAAAGUCUGUAUUAGUAACUAGAAAAACGGUCAGAAGUCUGAGGUACCUGAGAGAAGACAGCAAAAUGAGAUCUGGAAUUUGAGGAGCACCUGUUAGGAGAAGAGUCAUCUCUACUGUAAGCACAAGCAACACAGAGGGAAUGGGGAUGUCAGGAGGGUAUCCCAAGGACAACAUAUAGGAUUUUGUCAUAUUCUUCCUCCAAAAUCACAGAAAACUUGUGAUCCAUAUCCACUAUUUUUUGUUCCAAGUCUCUGAUAAGUAAGUCAUCCAAUCCAUGUUAAAACAGGCUGGAUUCUUGCAUCAUAAGACGUUAAUUUAUAUUUUUACAAGAUCCUUUUAGCUGC